UACGUAGGGGGCAAGCGUUGUCCGGAAUCAUUGGGCGUAAAGAGCGUGUAGGCGGCUUGGUAAGUCCGCUGUGAAAGUCCAGGGCUCAACCCUGGAAUGCCGGUGGAAACUGUCAAGCUUGAGUCCGGAAGAGGCGAGUGGAAUUCCUGGUGUAGCGGUGAAAUGCGCAGAUAUCAGGAGGAACACCGGUGGCGAAGGCGGGUCUCUGGGCCGUAACUGACGCUGAGGAGCGAAAGCGUGGGGAGCGAACAGG
rnacentral:rRNA from 1 species